GACGAACGCUGGCGGCGUGCCUAAUACAUGCAAGUCGAACGCAGUGGGGACGGGUGAGUAACACGUGGGUAACCUCCCAUCAGAGGGGAUAACACUUGGAAACAGGUGCUAAACCGAUACUGAUGGAUGAACCCGCGGUGCAUUAGCUCGUUGGUGAGGUAACGGCCCACCAAGGCCACGAUGCAUAGCCGACCGGGGAGGGGGAUCGGCCACACUGGGACUGAGAACAGGCCCAGAAGCAGACGGGAGGCAGCAGUAGGGAAUCGUCGGAAAUGGACGAAAGUCUGACCGAGCAACGCCGCGUGAGUGAAGAAGGUUUUCGGAUCGUAAAACUCUGUUGUUAGAGAAGCGGUAUCUAACCAGAAAGCCACGGCUAACUCCGUGCCAGCAGCCGCGGUAAUUC
rnacentral:rRNA from 1 species